GUAUGUGGUGCUGAGGAUCGAACCCGGGCCGCACACAUGCCAGGCAAGCAUGCUACCGCUUGAGCCACAUCCCCAGCCCUUCAAACAGGUUUUAAUCUGGAGGUUUUAUUCUAGUUUCUAUGUAGAUGACUAACUUGCAAAUUAUUCCCAAUAAAUAUUAUUUCUCUAAAAUAAGCUUUUAAAAAGUCAUUUUGUUGCUUUUUUAAUUUAGAAAAUUAUAUUUCAAUAGAAAUUAUAUAAAAUUCAGUUUUAAAAUAAAUCUUUUUGUCUUACUACACUGACUUACUCCAGCAAAUGUAUAUAAACUUCCUUUCCUUUUUCUUUAAAUUUUCAAUUACUUAAGUAAGUAAUAAAAAAUGCAUACACCUUAAAAAAAGAGGAAGGAAUCAUUGCAACAAAGACCCCUCUAAUACCUUUAUCCUAACCGCUCUUUCAACUCAAGAUCUAACCAUGACAUGGUGAGUAUCCUUCCAGAAUUUUCUCUGUACAUAUUUUUCCAUAUAGAUGUACCAAAAGUAAGUUCUCUACCAAUGAGCUACAUUCCCAACCCUUUUUUAAAAUUUAAUUUUGAGAUGUUUCUCAUUAAAUUUCCCAGGUUGGCUUUGAACUUGCAAUCCUCCUGCCUCAGACUCCCAAGUCUCUGAGAUUAUAGGCAUGAACCAUGACACCUAAUUUUAAAGGGUCUGGUUUUGUUUUUAUCAAAGUUGUACAUGUACACAUUUGAAUAAAGGGUUCUAUAUUAUUUGUUGUGAAAAACAGUGGUAUUUUGAUCCCUUCUCCUCAAUGCCCUCCUCCCCAGAAGCGGUUACUUUUGUAUCUUUUAGCUGUUUUUUUUGAUAUGAUGUCCACGUCUCUAUGUAAUAUGUUUAUUAUUUCCUGAUUGGGGGGCCAUUAUCUAUUUUCCUUCCACUAUAAUGGAGACUUUUCUGUUUUUUACCCUUCUUUUUAUCCCCAGCUCCAUAUAUACACUCCUAUUUUUAACCAUAAUUCUUCAACAACAAAUCCAUAAUCUCAUAUCCAUAAUUUAUAAUCCAAAUGUUUUUUCAUAACUGACCCAGCCUGAACUCUUUUCAGAGCAAACUCUGAAGAGAAGCAAUUAUAAUCUUU
rnacentral:lncRNA from 1 species